CCCUUCGGGGAGUGAGUACAGCGGCGAACGGGUGAGUAACACGUAGGUAACCUACCUCGGAGACCGGGAUAACCUGUCGAAAGGCGGGCUAAUACCGGAUAAGACCACGAGGGCUUCGGCCUUUGAGGUAAAAGAUGGCCUCUGCUUGCAUGCUAGUACUCCGAGAUGGGCCUGCGCACCAUUAGCUUGUUGGUGAGGUAACGGCUCACCAAGGCUGAGAUGGUUAGCUGGUCUGAGAGGAUGAUCAGCCACACUGGGACUGAGACACGGCCCAGACUCCUACGGGAGGCAGCAGUGGGGAAUAUUGCGCAAUGGGCGAAAGCCUGACGCAGCGACGCCGCGUGGGUGAUGAAGGCCUUCGGGUCGUAAAGCCCUGUCAGGAGGGACGAAACCUCGACGAGUUAAUAUCUCGUCGACUUGACGGUACCUCCAAAGGAAGCACCGGCUAACUCCGUGCCAGCAGCCGCGGUAAUACGGAGGGUGCGAGCGUUGUUCGGAAUUACUGGGCGUAAAGCGCGUGUAGGCGGCCUCUUAAGUCUGGUGUGAAAUCCCGGGGCUUACCCCCGGAAGUGCAUUGGAUACUGGGAGGCUCGAGUACCGGAGAGGAGGGUGGAAUUCCUGGUGUAGCGGUGAAAUGCGUAGAUAUCAGGAGGAACACCGGUGGCGAAGGCGGCCCUCUGGACGGAUACUGACGCUGAGACGCGAAAGCGUGGGGAGCAAAC
rnacentral:rRNA from 1 species